ensembl:lncRNA
CCUGGGAGCACUCCUGUGGACUGACACUGGGGAAGUAGGAGUGGUGCUCACCUCUUGUACCGUCGCCAUGCGUUGGUUUACCUGGACAGUACACUGCCUACUGCUGGAUCCUGUCCUGCUAGGACUCUGUGUGGAAGGUCGAGGGAGAGCAUCUGAUACGGCUGCCUCCCUCCCAAAGAACAACUCUCCCGUCUCCCGGCACUCAGCAGCCCUACAGAACAGGAAGGGUUCCUACCCCUCUAUGCUCACCCUGCACCCGGGUACAGGUGGCCAUUCCAGUGGGCCCUCUAAAGUUAUAUCCUCGGAUGAGAACAUCACCACAGAGCGUGACAUCAUCGACCUGGACCCCCGCAGCCCCUCCCCAGACCCCGGUGUGUUCAUGGAAGAGAACCUGCUGCCCGCUGAGGUGUUACCAGCGAAGCAGGGAAAGACUAGCGGUAGCCCUAUCAUACGGAGAAGCCGCGGGAAGAGUGCUGAUGUAGGACGGGCUAGAUCUGACCACACAGGCUUACUGACAGUGGCCCCUAAUCCUAGUGAGGGAGAUCUCAUACUGGGAUCUGACAACAGAAUUUACAGGCUCCUGAGUGGCCCUCCAGGGCCAGAGGGCCCUCCGGGAAAAACA